CCUACGGGAGGCAGCAGUAGGGAAUUUUCGUCAAUGGGCGCAAGCCUGAACGAGCGAUGCCGCGUGAGUGAAGAAGGCCUUCGGGUCGUAAAGCUCUGUUGCGGGGGAAAAAAGGCAGCAUCAGGAAAUGGGUGCUGACUGAUGGUGCCCCGCCAGAAAGUCACGGCUAACUGCGUGCCAGCAGCCGCGGUAAUACGUAGGUGGCGAGCGUUAUCCGGAAGGAUUGGGCGUAACGGGUGCGCAGGCGGUACUGCAAGUCUGGAGUGAAACGCAUGAGCUCAACUCAUGCAUGGCGUUGGAAACUGGAGGACUGGAGAGCAGGAGAGGGCGGUGGAACUCCAUGUGUAGCGGUAAAAUGCGUAGAUAUAUGGAAGAACACCAGUGGCGAAGGCGGCCGCCUGGCCUGUUGCUGACGCUGAGGCACGAAAGCGUGGGGAGCAAAUAGGAUUAGAUACCCCAGUAGUC
rnacentral:rRNA from 1 species